GUCAAGUAUCCGCUUGGGUUCAUGUCUUCUUAGGGCUAUUCUGGAUGUAUAAUUCAAUUUCAGUCGUAAUAUUCCAUUUCAGUUGGAAAAUGCAGUCAGACGUUUGGGGUAGUAUAAGUGAUCAAGGGGUGGUAACUCAUAUCACGGGAGGAAACUUUGCGCAGAGUUCCACUACUAUUAAUGGGUGGCUUCGCGAUUUCUUAUGGGCACAGGCAUCCCAGGUAAUUCAGUCCUAUGGUUCUUCAUUAUCCGCAUAUGGCCUUUUUUUCCUAGGUGCCCAUUUUGUAUGGGCUUUUAGUCUAAUGUUUCUCUUCAGCGGGCGUGGUUAUUGGCAAGAACUUAUUGAAUCCAUCAUUUGGGCUCAUAAUAAAUUAAAAGUUGCUCCUGCUACUCAGCCUAGAGCCUUGAGCAUUGUCCAAGGACGUUCUGUAGGAGUAACCCAUUACCUUCUGGGUGGAAUUGCCACAACAUGGGCAUUAUUCUUAGCAAGAAUUAUUGCAGUAGGAUAAUGGCUAGGAGGAUUUGAAAGGCAUUAUGGCAUUACGAUUUCCAAGGUUUAGCCAAGGCUUAGCUCAGGACACCACUACUCGUCGUAUUUGGUUUGGUAUUGCUACCGCACAUGACUUCGAGAGUCAUGAUGAUAUUACUGAAGAACGUCUUCAUCAUAAUAUUUUUGCCUCUCAUUUUGGGCAAUUAGCAAUAAUUUUUUUGUGGACUUCAGGAAAUCUGUUUCAUGUAGCUUGGCAAGGAAACUUUGAGGCAUGGGUACAGGAUCCUUUACAUGUAAGACCUAUUGCUCAUGCAAUUUGGGAUCCUCAUUUUGGCCAACCGGCUGUGGAAGCUUUUACUCGAGGGGGUGCUCUUGGCCCAGUGAAUAUAGCCUAUUCGGGUGUUUAUCAGUGGUGGUAUACAAUCGGUUUACGUACUAAUGGAGAUCUGUAUAAUGGAGCUCUUUUUUUAUUAGUUCUUUCGGUCAUAUCUUUAAUAGCGGGUUGGUUACACCUACAACCGAAAUGGAAACCGAGCGUUUCGUGGUUUAAAAAUGCCGAAUCUCAUCUUAAUCAUCAUUUGUCAGGACUAUUCGGAGUAAGCUCCUUGGCUUGGACAGGACAUUUAGUUCAUGUCGCUAUUCCUGGCUCCAGGGGGGAAUACGUUCGAUGGAAUAAUUUCUUAGACGUAUUGCCGCAUCCCCAAGGAUUAGGCCCACUUUUUACAGGUCAGUGGAAUCUUUAUGCUCAAAACCCUGAUUCAAGUAGUCAUUUAUUUGGCACCUCCCAAGGAGCAGGAACUUUUAUUCUAACUCUUCUCGGGGGAUUCCAUCCACAAACGCAAAGUUUAUGGCUGACUGAUAUUGCUCAUCAUCAUUUAGCUAUUGCAUUUAUUUUUCUUAUUGCCGGUCAUAUGUAUAGAACGAAUUUCGGGAUUGGGCACAGUAUAAAAAAUCUUUUAGAAGCACAUAUUCCUCCGGGGGGGCGAUUGGGGCGUGGACAUAAAGGUCUUUAUGACACAAUCAAUAAUUCGAUUCAUUUUCAAUUAGGUCUUGCUCUAGCCUCUUUGGGGGUUAUUACUUCCUUGGUUGCUCAACACAUGUACUCUUUACCUGCUUAUGCAUUCAUAGCACAAGACUUUACUACUCAAGCUGUUUUAUAUACUCAUCACCAAUACAUUGCAGGAUUCAUUAUGACAGGAGCUUUUGCUCACGAAGCUAUAUUUUUUAUUAGAGAUUACAAUCCGAAACAAAAUGAGGAUAAUGUAUUGUCAAGAAUGUUAGACCAUAAAGAAGCUAUCAUAUCCCAUUUAAGUUGGGCAAGCCUCUUUCUAGGGUUCCAUACUUUGGGACUUUAUGUCCAUAAUGAUGUCAUGCUUGCUUUUGGUACUCCGGAAAAACAAAUCUUGAUCGAACCUAUAUUUGCCCAAUGGAUACAAUCUUCUCAUGGUAAAACCUUAUAUGGGUUCGAUGUACUUUUAUCUUCAACGAAUGGUCCAGCGUUCAACGCGGGUUGAAGCAUAUGGUUGCCUGGUUGGUUAAAUGUUGUUAAUGAAAAUAGUAAUUCACUAUUCUUAACAAUAGGACCUGGAGACUUCUUGGUUCAUCAUGCUAUUGCUCUAGGUUUACAUACAACUACAUUGAUCUUAGUAAAAGGGGCUUUAGAUGCACGUGGUUCCAAGUUAAUGCCAGAUAAAAAGGAUUUUGGCUAUAGUUUUCCUUGCGAUGGUCCGGGACGAGGCGGUACUUGUGAUAUUUCGGCUUGGGAUGCUUUUUAUUUGGCGGUUUUCUGGAUGUUAAAUACCAUUGGAUGGGUUACUUUUUAUUGGCAUUGGAAGCACAUCACAUUAUGGCAGGGUAACGUUUCACAGUUUAAUGAGUCUUCCACUUAUUUGAUGGGAUGGUUAAGAGAUUAUCUAUGGUUAAACUCUUCACAACUUAUCAACGGAUAUAACCCCUUCGGCAUGAAUAGUUUAUCGGUCUGGGCGUGGAUGUUCUUAUUUGGACAUCUUGUUUGGGCUACUGGAUUUAUGUUCUUAAUCUCCUGGCGUGGAUAUUGGCAGGAAUUGAUUGAAACUUUAGCAUGGGCUCAUGAACGAACACCUUUGGCUAAUUUGAUUCGAUGGAGAGAUAAACCAGUGGCUCUUUCCAUUGUUCAAGCAAGAUUGGUCGGGUUAGCCCACUUUUCUGUAGGUUAUAUAUUCACUUAUGCGGCUUUCUUGAUUGCCUUUACAUCGGGAAAAUUUGGUUAAUUCUUUCUUGGAUUCUAUCAUUGAAACUAAGAGGAAUUGAAUCAUUAUGGCAAGAAAAAGUUUGAUUCAAAGGGAGAAGGAGAGGCAAAAAUUGGAACAAAAAUAUCAUUUGAUUUGAGGAUCCUCAAAAAAAGAAAUAAGAAAAGUUCCGUCGUUGAGUGAGAAAUGGAAAAUUCAUGGAAAGUUACAAUCCCCACCACGUAAUAGUGCACCUACACGACUUCAUCGACGUUGUUUUUUAACUGGAAGACCAAGAGCUAACUAUCGAGAUUUUGGGCUAUCUGGACACAUACUUCGUGAAAUGGUUCAUGCGUGUUUGUUGCCCGGAGCAACAAGAUCCAGUUGGUAAGGAUUUAAAUAUCCCUUAAUUUUCAUUUUUCUAUUUAUUUCUAUGAUCAUAUAUCAUAGA